CGCUCUCUGUUGGGAGGUAACGUACGCAGAUAGAGAGUCCAACCUGCCCUAUGACGGUUUGGUUCAAUGGUGGCCGUAAUGGGUCUUAAGGUAGCGCAAUUCCUCGCCCUUUAAUUGGGGGCAGUGGUGAAGGUCAAACGACAGCCUGACUGUCUCUGGGCUUUAAGUUAGAAUUUGUCUUUUCAGUGAACAGACUGAGAUGGUUGAGAGGGACGAAAAGACCCUAUGAAGCUUUAAUUCAAAUUUAUUAAUAGUGAGUGAUGAAUUUUGGCUGGGGCAGCCGGACGACAGGUGAAAAUCGACGUUACAUGAAAGUUUUGCGGAAUUAGAUCCACGCCGGUGUCGGCGUGAUUAGCGGAAAUAGCUACUCUAGGGAUAACAGCGUAAUCUGCCUUGAGAGCUCGUAUUGAUAGGCGGGUUUGCGACCUCGAUGUUGGCUUAGCAUUUCCUUAGGGCCAUUGGCAGGAGCUCUUAGUUGGUUGGACUGUUCUUCCAUUAAAAUGUUUCAUG
rnacentral:rRNA from 1 species